CAGCAGCCGCGGGAAAACGAAGGGGGCUAGCGUUGUUCGGAAUUACUGGGCGUAAAGCGCACGUAGGCGGACUUUUAAGUCAGGGGUGAAAUCCCGGGGCUCAACCUCGGAACUGCCUUUGAUACUGGAAGUCUUGAGUGUGGAAGAGGUAAGUGGAAUUGCGAGUGUAGAGGUGAAAUUCGUAGAUAUUCGCAGGAACACCAGUGGCGGAGGCGGCUUACUGGUCCACAACUGACGCUGAGGUGCGAAAGCGUGGGGAGCAAACAGGAUUAGAUACCCGAGUAGUCCCUGUCUCUUAUAC
rnacentral:rRNA from 1 species